rnacentral:rRNA from 1 species
ACCCGCUGAACUUAAGCAUAUCAAUAAGCGGAGGAAAAGAAACCAACAGGGAUUACCUCAGUAACGGCGAGUGAAGCGGUAACAGCUCAAAUUUGAAAUCUGGCUCUUUCAGGGUCCGAGUUGUAAUUUGUAGAAGAUGCUUUGGGUGUGGCCCUGGUCUAAGUUCCUUGGAACAGGACGUCAUAGAGGGUGAGAAUCCCGUAUGUGACUAGGUGCUUUCGCCCGUGUAAAGCUCUUUCGACGAGUCGAGUUGUUUGGGAAUGCAGCUCAAAAUGGGUGGUAAAUUUCAUCUAAAGCUAAAUAUUGGCCAGAGACCGAUAGCGCACAAGUAGAGUGAUCGAAAGAUGAAAAGCACUUUGGAAAGAGAGUUAAACAGUACGUGAAAUUGUUGAAAGGGAAGCGCUUGCAACCAGACUUAGUUGCGGCCGAUCAUCUAGGGUUCUCCCUGGUGCACUCGGUCGUAUCUAGGCCAGCAUCGGUUUGGGUGGUGGGAUAAAGGCCUUGGGAAUGUAGCUUCUUUCGGGGAGUGUUAUAGCCCUCGGUGCAAUGCCGCCUACCUGGACCGAGGACCGCGCUUCGGCUAGGAUGCUGGCGUAAUGGUUGUAAGCGACCCGUCUUGAAACACGGACCAAGGAGUCUAACAUCUAUGCGAGUAUUUGGGUGUUAAACCCAUAUGCGUAAUGAAAGUGAACGGAGGUGAGAACCCUUAAGGGUGCAUCAUCGACCGAUCCUGAUGUCUUCGGAUGGAUUUGAGUAAGAGCAUAGCUGUUGGGACCCGAAAGAUGGUGAACUAUGCCUAAAUAGGGUGAAGCCAGAGGAAACUCUGGUGGAGGCUCGCAGCGGUUCUGACGUGCAAAUCGAUCGUCAAA